rnacentral:tRNA from 1 species
GCGGGUGUAGCUCAGCGGUAGAGCAUCAGCUUCCCAAGCUGAGGGUCACGGGUUCAAUUCCCGUCACCCGCU